rnacentral:lncRNA from 1 species
GAUAACUGGAGCUUGUUCUAAGAUGAAACACUAUUCAGAACGCCGUAAAUAGGAGCCCUAUCAUCUCAUCUGCUGUAGUCCCAGGUUUUACCGUGUUGAUCUUUCGCCGGGGCUUUGACUUGCGUAACGCUCGAGCAAACAAGCCCCCUCCAACGUAUGAGGAGAGCAUCCGCCACUCCAUUGAAGUGCCCUUUGACAUUCUGGGGUCUGUAAUAGACGCCCCUCAUCCCCAGGACAUUUACCCUCCGCACCCUGGCACAGACCUUACCACUCAGUCAGAGGUAACCACUCAGUGCCCGUCCACUCAGGAUACCAACAGUGCCACCCUACCAGUCUGAAUCCUCAGACUCGCUACUGACACACGAUGACAAGGACAACUGGAGUAUUGAUGCUUUUUAUCCACCUUGAUGUGCCAAACUGGUCAGAGGAUAACAGACAGUGGAAAUGCACACAUUCUCAAUAGGUUGAAUCCGAUCCAGCAGCCAAUGUGUUGACUGUACUGUAGGAACACCCUGCAGUGACAGUAUGCUGGAAGAUAGUGACCAAAGAUAGUGAAAUUCUACAUUGCGGGUUACUCCAUACUGACAGUCUUGAAUGUCUAAACACCUCUUGUCAGUUGUGAUUUUAAACUGGAGCCUAAAUAAGAUUGGUGAACUGGGAAGACUUGGAUCGCCAGGAAACCGUCCUGUAGAUGACCAAUACCAUGACUAUAUGUGUCUGAGGUGGCAGGUUCUAAUGCCAAAGUUAACUGUAAGAGGAGACAGGCCAGGUAGAAAGACACUGCAUGGCAAAUGUGCUGCUGAAAAACAAAGACCAUUUUGCUGUGAACAGAAAAAGCACCAAAAAGGGAAGAACGGUCUUUAGAUUUUAAAAAAAAAAUCUCAUAUUUUCUACAUUUGAUCAUGGUACCCCCUUUUUGAUCAUUUUAUGGAUUAAAGUAAUCUGGAUUGUUGUUUUUUGGGGAACUGUGUUGUAGCAAGUCCUAUUCUGAGUAAAAUCACUCUCCUCUUUUAGUGCAAUGUCUGAGCCAAAAACGUAUAAGCGUGAGUUGUAAAAUUCUCCUAUGUCCUACCAUGCUGAGCUUGGGUUGUACAGCUGAGCCAGCUACAACUUGUGUGUUAGUCUUGGAACCUGUGAAGAGUGAGUCAACAACACCAAAUCUGUGUUGGCUCUGGUAACGGGUCUUAAAUGCCCAAUGCAGCCGUUUUUAUAUCAAAUCAUUUAUGGGUAACAAUAAUGUACCUUACUGUAAUGGUUUUCCAUAAAAAUUAUCAAAAUGUUUUUUUUUGUUGCUUUUAAGCGUUAAACGUUUUAACAAGCAACAAUUGUGGUCUGAGUGGGGAGGAGAAAAGGGAAAACUAGUUGUUAUUGUUAGAGAGGUUUGGAACUCUUUGUUAUUAAUCUAUUAGCUCAUUUACCACCUGGUGAUGUCACCAGGCAAGCCGAAACUCCACCCAUGCAAAACCUGCUGUUUAGAAGGUCCUAUGUAGAAUGUAUUUUCAACCAGGAAAUAAUACUGAUCAAAUCUUGUUAGUUUCAUCAGCUGUUGUGCAAUAUGAUGCAAAACACAGAAAACUGAAUUUUGACUGCACGGGGCCUUUAAGAUACAAUUCAGCAUUGGGAAUCUGGGAAGCGUUAACUAAGUAGCUAGCUUUGUUUAUUCAAGAGCUCUGUGAACAGUGAAUGAGAAUAGUUGUGUAUUUUUUUUUAUUAACUGGGCUGCCUGUCUUAACAGUCCCUGCACAAGCUUGAGAAGAAACCAGUAUGAAUGGCAAGAAAAAGUAUGUAAUAUUUCCCUCACAUCAUGUCUGAAACAAAAGUAUGAGGUUUCAGCAGGCGUUCGCAAGUAGAGACAAGUCUAUUCAAAAGACAGCAAUUGUGAAAUACUUGUAUGUUUAUAGAAGUGUAAGAGUGAGAAUUGGAGUUGAUGAUCAUUUAUACACCUGUGUCUAUAAAUUCCUGUCUGUCAUGUAAACUAAUUGAGAUGGUGGUGGCUUCUAGAUAAAGACAUGUUUUACAUAGCGCCUGUGUGCUGUCUCUGUCUGGUCUUAAUGUCCACCAGUUUCCUUUUCACCUCAUUUAACACAUGAUUUACUUAACAAAAGGAACAUCUCAAUAGGUGGUCCAGGUAUGACAUGAC